rnacentral:rRNA from 1 species
CCUACGGGAGGCUGCAGUCGAGAAUCAUUCACAAUGGGGGAAACCCUGAUGGUGCGACGCCGCGUGGGGGAAUGAAGGUCUUCGGAUUGUAAACCCCUGUCAUGUGGGAGCAAAUUAAAAAGAUAGUACCACAAGAGGAAGAGACGGCUAACUCUGUGCCAGCAGCCGCGGUAAUACAGAGGUCUCAAGCGUUGUUCGGAAUCACUGGGCGUAAGGCGUGCGUAGGCUGUUUCGUAAGUCGUGUGUGAAAGGCGCGGGCUCAACCCGCGGACGGCACCUGAUACUGCGAGACUAGAGUAAUGGAGGGGGAACCGGAAUUCUCGGUGUAGCAGUGAAAUGCGUAGAUAUCGAGAGGAACACUCGUGGCGAAGGCGGGUUCCUGGACAUUAACUGACGCUGAGGCACGAAGGCCAGGGGAGCGAAAGGGAUUAGAUACCCUAGUAGUC